UACGUAGGGUGCAAGCGUUAAUCGGAAUUACUGGGCGUAAAGCGUGCGCAGGCGGUUUUGUAAGUCAGAUGUGAAAUCCCCGGGCUUAACCUGGGAACUGCGUUUGAAACUACAAGGCUAGAGUGUGGCAGAGGGGGGUGGAAUUCCACGUGUAGCAGUGAAAUGCGUAGAGAUGUGGAGGAACACCGAUGGCGAAGGCAGCCCCCUGGGAUGAUACUGACGCUCAUGCACGAAAGCGUGGGGAGCAAACAGG
rnacentral:rRNA from 1 species